rnacentral:lncRNA from 1 species
ACCGGUCCCUCGCUGCGCAACAGCAGAAGAACUCGAAAAUUUGGCUAAGUCCUGGAAGACCGCCGUUCGGGAACCGGUCCCUGGUCGGGGAGACCGGUCCCCGAAGGCGAAAAAUGCCCAGUCUGGGCAGUUCAAGAGGAAACAAGUGGAGAGGCUUAAGUGCAAUUGUUACAACACUAUAUAUGACUCACCCCUCUCUCCCACAGCC